GUUAUGGGUUACUGCCUGAUCGAGCCUGUCUAACGGUGACAGUGUCUUCGUAACGCUGACGAGUGGCGAACGGGUGAGUAAUACAUCGGAACGUGCCCAGCGUGGGGGAUAACUACUCGAAAGAGUAGCUAAUACCGCAUACGAUCUGAGGAUGAAAGCGGGGGUACUUCGGGCCUCGCGCGAUUGGAGCGGCCGAUGGCAGAUUAGGUAGUUGGUGGGAUAAAAGCUUACCAAGCCGACGAUCUGUAGCUGGUCUGAGAGGACGACCAGCCACACUGGGACUGAGACACGGCCCAGACUCCUACGGGAGGCAGCAGUGGGGAAUUUUGGACAAUGGGCGAAAGCCUGAUCCAGCAAUGCCGCGUGCAGGAUGAAGGCCUUCGGGUUGUAAACUGCUUUUGUACGGAACGAAAAAGCUCCUUCUAAUACAGGGGGCCCAUGACGGUACCGGAAGAAUAAGCACCGGCUAACUACGUGCCAGCAGCCGCGGUAAUACGUAGGGUGCGAGCGUUAAUCGGAAUUACUGGGCGUAAAGCGUGCGCAGGCGGUUAUGAAAGACAGAGGUGAAAUCCCCGGGCUCAACCUGGGAACUGCAUCUGUGACUGCAUGGCUAGAGUACGGUAGAGGGGGGAUGGAUUUCCACGAGUAGCUGUGAAAUGCGUAGAUAUGCGUAGGAUACACCGAUGGCGUAGGCAAUCCCCCUGAAGCUGUUCGUGACGUCUCUUGGCACUAUACCCGUGCCGAGCGAACAGGAUGUAGAUGUCGCGACACGUCAAUSUCCUACUCCAGGGUCCAACGGCACGUGGAGAAUUCGGUCCUCACAGUGAUAAAGGCUACCGCACCGCAAGUUAACCGACCUGAUAACUACGGUCCACCCAGCUCUACACUCACAAGCAAUCUGCUCGGGGUAACCUCGUACUCAUAGUCG
rnacentral:rRNA from 1 species